GGUUCAUGAAAAACUGCCUCUAGUCUAUAAUUGUGACGGCUUAUGCGGCCGUUUUGGGCAACCAUCGCAACUCUACAUGGAAAUCUACACUUGUUACAUAAGGUUUACAUAAAGCUUACGACGGUUCCUUCAAACCAGACAUCGAUUUUUGACUGCGAUAGUUUUGUUCAACCGUCGUAGGGAAUAAGUACUUCGUUUCUGAUACAUUUUUCAGUACCCGCGUUCAAUUUCAUUCAGCCGCGCAAUCUAUUUCUUUCCUACUGAUUAUUUUUGGAAAUAAACCCUAAAAUUUGAGUAGAGAACCAAACUUUCCCUCUUUCUUUCAAGUGAUUGUCCUUGCAACCUUCUUAUUCAUCACUAUGAUCUUUUUCUUCUCCAUAACUGUGAUUGUCAAUUUCUUCAUUAUAAUAUCCUCUUCUUAUCUACAUCCAUCUUAUUCUUAUGAGUUCAAUGUUUUUUUUGUCAAUCUUCACCACUGUAUUAUUCACUUUGUUCCUCCCUAUAGCUUGUUAACGACACCGGUCCCUCAACGCACCAAGCUGACAUGGGAAGAAGAGAGGUAAGUUGGAGAUCACCACACCCCCUUCUCACUUUUUAGGUAUAUUCACGGUUUCUUGUUUGUUUGAUUGAAUAUUGUUUUUUAUUUUAAUUCAUGUAUGACUUUUACUGUGUUCUACUCUGUUUGGAACUAAGUUGGGUAAAGAAAGAACAACCCAUUUAAAAUUGAAGAAGCAAACAGAAACGCUGCUCUCAACCUGAAAAAGCAAACGUGAAAUUGGAACCCUAAACCAGAAAACGCAAACUAAAAUCUCCAUGAAAUUCAAGAGGUUAUUCUAUUAAAACCCUAAUUCCUUCUUACAUUUAGUGCUGGUUGUGUGUUUGAUUGCUUACAUUUAGUGUUGGAUGUGUUUUGAGUGCUUUAAAAGAGCACUAAUCUUGGUUUCACUGGAUUCACUUUGUGCUCUGACUUCAAUACUUUUCCAACUAUGCUGAGGACAAAGUUCAAAUCCAUAUUAAAUUGAUAUUGCCUUCUCACAUUCCAUUUUCAUUCAAAAUUCUGUAUUUUACACUCAUUGAAACAUGAAUAGGAUUUCAUAUUGGUGAGGAUUUAAUUUUGUUUCCUAACACUACUAGAUGUCACAACUUUGGACCUAUUUUGUUUUGUUGUUUCAAUAGAGUGAUUGAGGAUUGUACUGAGCUCAAAACUUUGAUGCAAAGUUUGUUUUAAGUAUUGUACUAAGACUCCAAUGAUUCCACUAUUAACAUAUGGGCCUUUUAUAGCUCUUGAGAAUGUAUCAUUUUUAUAGGAAUUGUUGAGGAUUAGGCUAUUGUUUUGUAAAAUAGUGGUAGUUUGUUAGUUACUCUGAUUUCAUAGUGAUAGAUAAUUAUUCUUGACGGCUUCAAUCUUCAAAAGGAAGGUUCACAUAAUAUCCAGAUGUUGUAUAUGGUGGAUGGUAGUUUAUAGUGGAUGCCCAAAACUCUGCCAUAUAAAAUUGGGAGUGGGACAUAUGGAACUGCCAUGGUGGGAUGCGUUUUACAAAAUCCGCCUCACUCUUUUGCAAAUAAACUACUCUUUUUGGUUAACACUUGUAGGUAGGACAAUAGAUGACUUCACCCUUUUGACCUCUAAUUAAAUGAUUUUGAAAAUACGAUAUGACUUUAUUGUUGGGUUUUCUAUGUUGGGAAUUCAAAUUCAUUAAAAUUUAUGUUGGCUGAAUUAUUUAUUUAAGAUGGAAGUUGCUUUGCUUAUCCUGAAAAUGUAGGUGCAGCUGGAACUCUUUAUGAUGCAAUUCCUCAAAAUCUAAAACAAGAGUGUUUUACAAAUUAAAAAUCCUUCUCUAGUUCUGCAAUAUCUUCUUGGUAACUAGUUUUGUUCCCUAAACUACUACCACAAUACACAAAAAUCCUCAUUUAGUGGUUGAGAAUAAGAGAAUAAAUUAUAAUAGUUAAUGUAAGAAUUAAUGAAGGCUAUCAACUAUGACAGAUAUGUUAUCGAGUAGAGAUAGAAUGCAACAUGAGGUGUAUUUAAACUUUAUAUUAUAUGGAUAGAGUGAUUUGCCUAUAUGUAUAUGUGAACCUUGUAAGAAGCUUAGAGAGGCAUCACAAUUGCAAAAAGGGACAUGCACUUAUUCAGGAUUUCCAGGUUGUGUCUCAAUCUCAAAUUAUUGUUACUUGCAUGACAGACAUUUCAACUAAGCUGCACAAAGUAAUAAAAGAACUUUCUCUUGUCUUUUUUCUUGUUCUCCCAACUUUGUAUAAUGACACCAUUUGUUAUGUAUGUUGGAGAUUGAAAUUGAAACUUAAGUGUAGCCAUUAAACUUCAGUGCUCGGUAUAUAUUUUCUUUUUAUAACUAAUGUGCAUAUUGAUUUUGUUUGUGUAUUGAUUAAUGAGUAUUUUUCUAAACCAUUGAUUAUCCUUGUGGAUGUGGGUUUUGCAUGUUAACAUUUUUUUAUUAUUUAUAGGGAAGUUGAUUAUAAUUGCUAACAGUUGCCCACUAUUAAGAAAGUCUGAAAUUGAGUACUAUGCUAUGUUGUCAAAGCUUUAGAUGUUUUAUGCUCCUCACUUUUUAAUUUCAGCAGUCUUAAUAUGAUUUUGCAAUGCAAUAUGAAAGUGAAUAUUGUUUUUGAGAUCCGAGGAAUUUCGUUUCAUCAGAUUUCUGUCAGCUUUUGACUCAUGCGGUCAGGUAUUGUUCAUGUAUUAGCUCCAAGGACUUGUGCCAUAACUUAUUGCGCUUUUCUCUGGCACAACAUAAUUCUACAGAUUGGCCAACUUGUCCUGGAUAAUAGACUGGUCUAGGUUAUUACAUAGAGUUUGUAGUAAAUAAUUUGGUCGGGUUCCAGAAAGCUUCAAUUUUUACAAUACAUGUAGUAGAAUGUUGUGAAAAAAGUUUACAAUUUUCCGAUACAACCUGCUAACACCAAUAUUCAACUUCAUUUUGAUUAGGAAUUGACAUAAUAAUUUGUUCAUAUACACUACAUUAUUGUAGGAUUUGAGAAAGGAUCUAGAAGGUGGAAUAGAUCUUGGCAUGCCAUAUUGUGUUUUCAUCAAUGGGAAAGUCUCUUGUAGAUAUAUGAUACAGUUGUUCUUGAUAGUAUUGAUUUUGAACAACUUGAUAUCCUCCAACCUGGUAACUUCUUGUAGGAAAUUUACUUGAAUUCUUUGAUUAUAGUUAUUUAUUUAUUUCAAAUAUACUGGUAUGGAAAUUUACUUGAAUUCUUUGAUUAUACUUUUUUAGAAAUAGUUUUUUAGAAAUAUUCUUUCCAGAAUUGGAUUUCUUUAAGUUAGGGAGAUAAUCCUUCACAACCGCAAGUUACUUUAAGAGAGAAACUUUUGAUAGAUGCUGGUGCAAUUACUGGGUUUCUUAUUGGACUUCGGAUUUAUCUUGAUGAUCCGGAAAAAGUAAAGCAUUUGCUUCUGUCUACGAAGAUAGAGUAGUGCAGUCUGUGCAAGUUCUUAAUGAGAGAUUGAAUUCUGCUGUCGAAGAAAGUAGUAGUACGUCUUCUGUAUAUAGAGCUUUGAUUUAAAUGAGAAUGAUACUCAGGAAAAAGCUCUUCUUGGACAACCAAUUUGUCCACUAGAAACGUGUUCCCCUGUUUCAGAAAAUGCAUUUUUUCAGUCAAAGGUACCUAGAUUCACAAGUGAUGGCAUUUAGCAAGUGGUCGAGCUUUCAAACAGUUCUUGAAAUGUUCGAUCAAAAUUUGCAGUAAAUUGAGAAUGAAGUUCAAACUACUAUCGAGGUUGCAGAUCAUGAUGUUCCAAUCACUAUAGUUGAGAAAAGGGAAUGAUGACUGGAGUUGAUUGCGUAGAAGCGAAUGAAAACAUUAAUGAGCUUAUUACUAGUGCGCACCUCACAUAUUAUUAGCUCAAUUUGUUGUGUGGCUCAAUUUGUUGAGCAGCUAAUGAAAAAUUUCUUUAUGUUUAUUAGUUAACAUCAAUUAUGUUGAAGGUUCUAAACAUGUAUUUAUGUGUUAAAGUAUACAUAGAUGAUUGAAAAAGUAAAUUUGAGUAUUGAAUUGGAUUGUGUUUCUAA